UCCCUGAGACCCUAACUUGUGAUG
rnacentral:ncRNA from 4 species